AUCUCUGAAUUCCCCAAAGCCUCUGUACGGUUCCUCCGAUGACCCUAACAACAGUUCUAUGAAGCAGACAAUAAUGUGCUCACGUCCAGUGGAAAAAGAGGUUUGGGUAGCAGUGGGACCAGCCUAUGAUCUCAAAGCCGGAGAGUUUUGAGGAGAUCACUCAUCUGAAUUGUGGGGUUUUAUUUUCCUUUUUUUUUUUAAUUAAUUGGGCAAUUUGCAUAGAAGAGAAUAAAUUGCUGACAGAGACA